AAUUUAUGUUUAGAUAUCAAUCAUUUACAGCGGAAAAUAUGCUAGUAUAAUUGAUCAUCAUCUUCUUUUCCAUUUGUAUAUAUGAAAUGGCCGAUGGAAGACGGUGACCAACCGAAGGUGAUGAAAUUGAGACGGUUAAGAAAUAGCCGGUAGAUGACGGUGGCUAUGGUAAGGAAGUGGCCGGUGGAAGACGGUGGCCAACCGAAGAUGAUGAAAUUAAGACGGCAUCUCCGCUGAUCGGGCAGCGGCGCGCCUCUUUUCCGGCCGCAUCUAACGACCGCUGCCACCACUCCCCAAAUUUUGUUUAUCUUUAAAGAAUCAGGAAAAUAAGUAAUGGGUUUGUAACUUAUGCAUAUAUAUUUGUAUGUUGUACAUUGUGCAUAUAGACUUGUAAAAACCAAGUUGGUUUUUAGUAUAUAGGGUAAAUAAAUAUAGACCAAGUUGGUUUUUA